CCCCGCUGUCCGGCCGGAGACCCUGUCCGCACGUAGUUCUAAUUCUACAAGGACACAUGUCCGGCGCUCGCACAUCACUUCCCUGCGCUGACACUGACCCCAGUUCUGCAACACAUACGCCAUUAUAGCUGCACUCCGACGUUGCAACAUCGACCCACCUCACCGAGAUUGUCCGUUACAAGAACACCCCAUACCUUGCAACUGUGCUACGCAGAGAUACACAACAAAACACUUGUGUGAAGAUCAGAGGACAAUGUUCUCUCCCUCCAUCAUGUGAGACCCUGGCACUGAACUCAGUCUCUGAAGCAAAUACUUUUUACCAGCUAAGCCAUCUCUAAGGGCUCUCGUUUUGUUUAUAAUCCACGAAGUCCAAUUUGAACUGCCAGUAUAUUAUAUUGAUUGGUGUGGGAUCAUCCACUGGAACAUGGCUUAUCAGGGACUACAUAUACCUUUAAAGGAAACCGACUUUCCCUCCCAAGACAGCCCUCAGUGGGGAUUUGUGAGCGCCUCACCCACGCAUUCUGGAAUGAUGACUGGAUUGAUUGUCUGCAGGUGGAGAAAGCUACCGACGUUCUGAGUUGGUGAGUGCUGUAGUCGUGCCAUUUCUGAGACACUAUUUCACCCCAGGCCUCCCCAACCUCUGACGCUUAUAAAUAAUCUCUCCACCCCCUCAUUCAUGAUGCUGUCUGAGUCUUGGAAAGAAGAAAAGAUGAGAUAGAAGUCCUACCCUGGCCAAACACUCUGCUAACACUGACCAGUUGUGAGUUUCUGACUUCAUUGCCGUCCAUUGCACAAAGAAAGUUCUGUAAUGCUGGCUGAGAGCUGUACUACUUUAACGGCAGUGUGGAAUAGCGAGAUCCGUCUGUUGCCCUUGGGUAACCAGAAAGAGUUGGAAGCCCACACAGAGAACGGGCAACCAGAGAUGUGUCAUCCACAGUGAAUGGCUUCCAUGAUCAUAAGCACACUGUCCAAAGACUGCAUUACCAUUUGACUCCAAAUGUCCUCCUUGUUUUACCGCAGUACCUAUUUAAGUCUCAGCCAGAGGAAUGAUCAAUACAAACCACGAUUUUCCCUUUCCACACUAAACUCCUAAAAUUAGAAAACAGAUGCGCUGGAGCUCCUCUCUGUUGGAACGCUGCCGCAGUGCCCUACGAAUGCCUGUCAGCCAUCUGCCCGGUCCACACCCUCCAAGCCUCUUCCUGCCCUUGCAUUCCUCAGCCUGCCCUAAAUGUCAAACAUUAACCUUGCUGCUGUUCACCUCCCCCGGUCAAAGGCACCAGGGUGCUGAGCAAGUCUCCCCCACAAAAACCCCUCCUGAGAGGCCCUAUUGCUAGCUGCCUGGAAGCCAGUCUUUUCUUGUUUGCCUUCAGAACAAUAUGUAGGCUCAGUUCCUCCAGCACCAUGCUUCCCGCCAUGAUGACAAUGGACUGGACUUCCAAAACUGUAAGCCAGCCCCAAUUAAAUGUUUACCUUUUUAAAAAAUAAAGCAAAAACGAAAAUCUGCUCCUUUGCUGGA